rnacentral:rRNA from 1 species
GACGAACGCUGGCGGCGUGCUUAACACAUGCAAGUCGAACGGUAAGGCCCUUCGGGGUACACGAGUGGCGAACGGGUGAGUAACACGUGGGUGAUCUGCCCUGCACUUCGGGAUAAGCCUGGGAAACUGGGUCCAAUACCGGAUAGGACCACUGCCUGCAUGGGUGGUGGUGGAAAGCUUUUGCGGUGUGGGAUGGGCCCGCGGCCUAUCAGCUUGUUGGUGGGGUGAUGGCCUACCAAGGCGCAGACGGGUAGCCGGCCUGAGAGGGUGACCGGCCACACUGGGACUGAGAUACGGCCCAGACUCCUACGGGAGGCAGCAGUGGGGAAUAUUGCACAAUGGGCGCAAGCCUGAUGCAGCGACGCCGCGUGAGGGAUGACGGCCUUCGGGUUGUAAACCUCUUUCAGCACCGACGAAGCGCAAGUGACGGUAGGUGCAGAAGAAGGACCGGCCAACUACGUGCCAGCCGCCGCCGUAA